rnacentral:lncRNA from 1 species
ACCCGCCCGCGCCGCCCUCCUGGGGUGCCUCUCAGGGACCCAGGCGCUCAGCUGCUGGGGCCGCGGAGGGCGUUCGCGGGGCGCCGGGGAAGGCUAGGGCCGCGGGGUCCCCGGGGCGCCGUCCCCAACCGCCGACGCCUGCCAGACCACCAAGUGGGGGCCAUGUCGACGUGUGAGGAGCCUGGUGGAAGGUGAUACUGGAAUUCCGGCACUGGGCCUGCAACCCUUUUAGUCCACAGUUGUCAGAAUCUAAAGGGAAGAAAAACGAAGUGCUCAGAACCCUCACAGAAGCCGGGCACCUCAUCCCGUGUGUGGGUUUUUUCCCCAGUACAAACCCAUUGUGGGGACAGGCGCUUUUGAAGAAAAAAUUCAGAUUCCCGGGCUGAAGUGGCUCCUCACAGCCUUGAACCUGACCCCCAGCUUCCCGCUAAAGCCGAGCGUGCCCAGCACGGCGAGGUCAGCAGAGGCCCCUCGGAGGGCGGCCGGGGGAGGUCAGUGGGAGGCCCUCGGGCAGCCGGUGGAUGGGCCGGCGACCUCCCCGACUCCAUCAGAAGCGCUCAGUCUGUGCCCUUCAGUUACUGGAGCAGCUCCCGUCCUUUGGCCAGUUCUCUGGAAGGUCGUUUCCGUUUCUGUGUCUGCCACACGUGCAGCACAAUCGAAAAACCUUGUUCGACAUUUCUAGAAAGAGUAGAUGCUACUGAAGACCCAAUAGAUUGCUGAGGGUUUUCAGAGCAGGGACAAUUGCAUCAGGGUGCUGGGCUCCGGGAAGAACUCAGAGGACUUGGCUGACGGGCGGAUGGGACAGUGAUUGGUGCCGAGAAUGGGCCAGAGAAGCAGGUCUGCCUGGAGCAGGCACCCGAGGCCGCGUGCAGGGGCGGUCCUGGGCCACCAACCCCUGGAAGCUGGGCCAGGAGCUUCGGAGCCAUCCGAGGCUUUUUUCGCUCCUCUCACUCUCAUGCACCUAGUUACCCUCCCCACAGAGUCUUCUCACGGCGCGGUUUUCGGCUACCAUUGCAGUGGUGUCUGACUACACCCAGUGCCUCUAUCGUUCCCCCCUCAGUCUGUUCUCGCUUCUUGGCAAACCUGUCCUUGGAAAGCCCUCUGCUGACUCCUGUUACCCUGAUCAAAUGCAUCCUCCUCAGGAGGCUCGUGAGCCCUUUGCAGGGUGGCCCAAGAGGCAUCACGCCCUGCUCUCCAGCCACUCUUGGGGUCCCCUACAGGGCCAGGCGUCCCACACCAGCAGCGGGUGCUGGUCCUGCCACAGUCUGUGCGACACGUGAAUGAAGGCUGUAGACCUGUGGUCUGCGGGAGGCAAAUUCCAACUCCAGCUGUCAAACAUAAGGGGACUGGUAGGCUCUCCAGGGUGGAUUGUCUCACGGCAUCCAGAGGCAGGGACCGAGGCAGGGACCUAGCCAGGCCUCGGGAAGGAGCUGCAAACCCAGGAGCUCUGGGGUGUGGCUUCAUCUCCCUCCCUCCCUACCACCCUACCCCCAUCUCUCCGUGUUCUUCAGAUGCCUCAUUUUCCUGUCAGGCACCUGGCCAGCUCUAGGAGCUGGAAUCAGGUUGGUGCCUCCUUGGUCAGUGUCCACCCCUAGUGUCAUCCACAGUGACCAACGGAAGGGGUGGCCGGUGGUACAGGACAUUGGCCAUCUUGGGAAAGAUCACAGAGACAGGAAGGGCCUCUCCAGCUGAGCAGAUGAGAGGUUCUUCAGUGGUCUGGACACAUUUGCCCACUCAUGGCCGUCCCCCUGCCCUGUUGAGAGAACCGAUGAGGAAAGGGAGCCCUGCAUCUGUCGCCUUCCGACUCCGACCGCCUGAGGCUGGGCUGCCGGCAAGCCGCGGCAGCAUAUGACAGCACUUGAAAGAAAGUCCCUGGAAAGAAUGUGGAUCAUUGCAGAACUCCCUCAAGAAAGCGCCAGAGGAGGACCCCAUUCAGCACCCCGCAGAACUCCUCAAACUCCUGCGUCCACACUCCCCCAGCGUGGUGGCUGCUUCUAUCUCCCCAGGCUUAGCUGGCCUGGGUCUUGAAGGCCUCUCCUCCUGCUGUCCCCACGCAGCAUCCUCUCUGCCACUGCACAGCUGGAUGCAGUGAAGGCCAGGCGGCUGUGGCUGCUUGGGCAACAGGAGCUGCUUGACCCUGUUCUGCUGGCCUUGUUGGCCUCACUCCCGUAGAGAGCCAAGGUUACCCACGUCUCUGAAGCUAAGGCUUUCUUUCUAGGCCUGGGGGAGUCACAUCUUGCAUUCGUACUCACUGAGCUCCACGUCUAUGGUUAGAGAAUUUAUCAACAUUUUAUAAUGCUUUUAUCAAUUCCAUCAUUUGAGGGCCCUCUGGCAAGGAACCUGUUAGUACAUGGAGUGCCUGGAAUGUUCCAGAAAGCUAACAUGAACAGCUGGCCCUUGCUGUCCUUAUACAUUGAGGACUCCAAAGGCCACUCAGGAUGACAGGAAAUGCAGGCUCCAAAAGAUUCGGUUCCUUUGUGAGGCCCUCGGGCAGUGGUCAGACACGAAGGAAAUAGGAAAUCACCCCCAAACCACACCUCUCCCUAUGAGGCCACAGCUGCCGAUGCAGCCUUGGGAGGGGGAUGGAGGGAGAGAGGAGGGCAUCUGAAUGUGGACACACCCUGCUGUGAGGGCUGUGGGCGGUCCUGAGACUGGAGCCAGCCCCCAGGCUCAGCUCAGCUCGGGGACCUCGUGCCCGGGCUUUCCUGGGGAGGAAGGUGUUGGAUCUCCUGCCUCUCUGUAUUCAUUCACACUUUGGGUUUCUCUCUCUUCCGCGCAUUCUAACAUCUGCAGGAUUUUUUUUUUUUUUUUUUUUUUUUUGAGACAGAGUCUCGCUCUGUUGCCCAGGCUGGAGUGGAGUGGUGCGAUCUCAGCUCGCUGCAAGCUCCGCCUCCUGGGUUCACGCCAUUCUCGUGCCUCAGCCUCCAGAGUAACUGGGACCACAGGCGCCCGCCACGACGCCCAGCUAAUUUUUUGUAUUUUUAGUAGAGACGGGGUUUCACCGUGUUAGCCAGGAUGGUCUCGAUCUCCUGACCUUGUGAUCCGCCCGCCUCGGCCUCCCAAAGUGCUGGGAUUACAGGCGUGAGCCACCGGGCCUGGCACAUCUGCAGGAUUUAUGGAUGAAGGGCCACAAACCCACAUUUGGUCUCAUUCAACAGAUGUUGUGUCGGCAGGGCGAGGUGGGACUCUGUCUCUGCCCACGCUACCUGCCCCUGGGGUUGUAGUUCUAGGAAAGCAAGUCUCAGACUGAGUUUUGAUCUGGAUUAAAUUCUGUCCCAGGUGCAGAUAUUUAUAGGAAAGCAGGGACAAGAGCCCUCAGGCAAAGCUGGGUAUCCUGCGAUGGGUGCCUCUGGGAGUUCGCAGAUAACAAGGCCUUUUCCUGGAGGCAAAGCAGAAGCGUUCUGUGGCAGACCAGUCAGCUUUCUAGCAGGUCAGGGGCAGGGACAUCUAGGCCCAAGGUGUCACACCGUGCCUGGCUGCUGGCUCUCCUCUUGCAAGGACACAGCUCUUACAGGACUUCCUAGCCCACCCAAGAACAUCUUUCCAUCAUCGAAAAGUUAUUGAUAAGAUUUUUCCAUCACUGAAAAGUUAUUGAUAAGUGCCACCAUGUGCAUGAGCAGCCCUCCAGGUGCUGGCUUGUGGGCCGGUGUUUGAGAAUCUUGCCAGUUGAAUGUGGGCAUCUGUUGAGGGUUUCCCAAAGGCUAACCGUUCGUGCCAGAGGGAGCCCAGAACGCCACCUCCUGGUGUCAGCAGCAGCAAAUCCAUAUAAGUCUGCAGCAACUUAGCUUUUGCCUCCUCAGAGGAAAUAAUUCAUCCAGGGGGCACAAGGCAGGGUCAGAGACUGAGGUAAGUUUCAGAGCAAGAGUGAAAGUUUAUUAAAAAAGUGUUAGAGCAGGAACGAAAGGAAAUAAAGUACACUUGGAGGAGGGCCAGGUGGGCAUCUUGAGAGAGCAAGUACACGGUUUUGACCUUUGACUUGGGGUUUAUAUCUUGGCAUGCUUCUGGGGGCUGCGUCCCUUCUCCCCUGAUUCUUCCCUUGGGGUGGGCUGUCCGCAUGCGCAGUGGCCUGCCGACACUUGGGAGGGCCGCGUGCACAGUGUGCUUACUGGAGUUGUGCGGUGCCCUCUUGAGGCAGUCUUCCCUUACCAGUUCCUAGGGGAAGGUCACACGCUGGUUAAACUUUGCCACUUUGCCUCGUAGUGUGCAUGCUUGACCUCACUCACCAACUCCUGAGAUUUUUUUUAAAUUUUUUAAUUUAAGUUCUAGGGUACAUGUACACAACGUGCAGGUUUGUUACAUAGGUAUGCAUGUGCCAUGUUGGUUUGCUGCAUCCAUUAACUCGUCAUUUACAUUAGGUAUUUCUCCUAAUGCUAUCCUUCCCACCCCACGACAGGCCCUGGUGUGUGAUGUUGCCCGCACUGUGUCCAAGUGUUCUCAUUGUUCAAUUCCCACCUGUGCCAACUCCUGGGAUCUUAUCGGGAAGUGGCUCAUCAUCAGCUUUAGGUGUUUUCUAUCUAUUGGGAGCCUGCCUUUCUCUGGCACCAGCUGCAACCAAUAAUUAUUUUAGACAGUUUAACAACAGCUUGACCAUCACCUGAUGAUCACCUGACAUUUCUGUUGGGGCGCGGGCCCAUCUCCUGCCCCGCUCAUGUGGGGCUCAGUCUGCCCAACCUUUCCCCAAGGGCCUGUCUUUACUUCAUUUGUGGUAAGCCCCAAGCAGAAUGGACUCUUGUUAUGAUCCCAGGAACUGCUCACGGCCACCUCUGUGGAUGAACACCUAGCGGCUGCUCUAAAUACAUGCUGUGAAAGUUGUCAGAAUCAAAAUGGAGUCACUAAUGUUAAGAAAGCCCUGACAAAGAGUUGGUGGGGAAGGCCACGAAGAGAGGACACUUAUGCUUGCAUGCCUGAUACCAGAAAGGACUACAAAAACCACAGCCCGGCACAGAGGCCAUCACACCCUUACACAAAAAAUAUUUCUGCAAGGACAACUGCCCAGCAAUUGCCUGUCCAACCUCAGACUGGAAUGACCUUUGUUAUUGAUGUUUGUAGCCAAGGAGAAUUAUCUCAAAACCACUGUGAUCCUGCUCGCUUUUCCUUUAAAGACCUUUGUCUUCCUUGACCUCCCUGAAUAGGCAUAUGGUUUACUAUGGCGUGUGUACUCUCCUUGUAAUGUUCUGUUCUCAAGCUAACAUCUAUUCUUCUAGAGAACCUCUCUCUUAGGCUGACAACGCUGUGGAUCUGGGCUCCCAGGAACUGGGGCUGACAUCAGAGGGGUGGAAAGAGAACAGCAGCUCUCCCUGAGGGGAUGCUUGCCAAGGAUAAGGAGACGAUGGUUCUCUAAGGAUUAUUUUAUAUUCAUCUAAAAGGGUAUUUUUGUUGUUACCCCUAGCCUUUUUUCCCUUUUAAUUUUCUGAUGAAUAAUUUAUAUAAAGAAAACCCAUUCUAAGUGUGCAAUUCUAUGAGUUUUGACAAAUGUCUUCACCCAUGCAAAUCCUGUUACAACGGAGAUAUAGAACAUUUCCAUUACUUAAAAACAGCCAGGUGCUGUAGCUCAUGCCUGUAAUCCCAGCACUUUGGGAGGUCAAGGCGAGAGGAUUACUUGAGCCCAGGAGUUCAAGACCAGCCUGGGCAACAUAGUGAUGCCCCAUCUCUACAAAAAUAGAAGAAAUUAGCUGGGCAUGGUGGUACAUGCCUGUGAUCCCAGCUACUUGGGAGGCUGAGGUAAGAGGAUUGCUUGAGCCUGGGAGGUGGAGGCUGCAGUAAGCCACAAUCUCACCACUGCACUCCAGCCUGGGUGACAGUCAGACCCUGACUCCAAACAAAAACCAAAACUUCCUUCUUGCCCCUUUGCAGCCAGACUGUUUUCUGUCAUUGUGGAUGCAUCUGUUCUAGAAAUUUACAUGGAUGGAAUCACUCAGUCUUUUGUAUCUGGCUUCUUUUACUUGGCACAGUGUUUGUGAAACUCAUCAUUGUUCCACAUAACAGUAGUUCCUUUUAAUUGCCAAGUGGCAUUCCUUGGUGUGAAUGCACCACAGCUGGGCUAGCCACCCAGAUGCUGAUGGGCAGUCGAUAGGCGGUAGGAUGUCCCCAUUUUCAGUCACUAUGAAUUGGUCUGCUGUAAGCACUAGAGUAGAAAUUUUUUUUUAGAGACAGGGUCUCGCACCGUCAUCCAGGCUGGAGGGCAGUGGCUCAUAGCUCACUGCAGCCUCAAACUCCUGAGCUCGGGCAAUCCUCCCACCUCAGCCUCCCAAGUAACUGAAACUACAGGCACACACCACUACACUUGGCUAAUUUUUAAACUUUUUGUAGAGACGGGGUCUUGCUGUGUUGCCCAGGCUGGUCUUGAACUCCUGGGCACAAGCAAUCCUCCCACCUCUCAAGUAGCUGUAAUAGGUGUAAGCCACUGCCCAGCACCAUUUAUUGAAGAAUCUGUCCUUUCCACAGUGAGUGUGCUUAGCACCUUUGUUGGAAAUCAGUCGGCUGUAGAAAGCGGAUUAAUUUCUGGGCCCUCUGUUCUGUUCCAUUGGUCUGUGUGUCUGUUUUUAUGCCAGUUCCAUGCUGUUUUGGUUACUGUAGCUUUGUAGUGUAUUUUGAGUCUGGGAGUGUGAUGCCUCCAGCUUUGUUCUUUUUGUUCAGGAUGGCUUUGGCUGUUUGGGGUCUUUUGUGGUUCCAUACAAAUUUUAAUAUUAUUUCUUUUUCUAAAAAGAAU